UUUGUAAUGUAUUGAAACAAG
rnacentral:piRNA from 1 species